rnacentral:rRNA from 1 species
AACGAACGCUGGCGGCAGGCUUAACACAUGCAAGUCGAACGCCCCGCAAGGGGAGUGGCAGACGGGUGAGUAACGCGUGGGAAUCUACCUAGUUCUACGGAACAACAGUUGGAAACGACUGCUAAUACCGUAUACGCCCUAUGGGGGAAAGAUUUAUCGGAAUUAGAUGAGCCCGCGUAAGAUUAGCUAGUUGGUGAGGUAAUGGCUCACCAAGGCGACGAUCUUUAGCUGGUCUGAGAGGAUGAUCAGCCACACUGGGACUGAGACACGGCCCAGACUCCUACGGGAGGCAGCAGUGGGGAAUAUUGGACAAUGGGCGCAAGCCUGAUCCAGCCAUGCCGCGUGGAUGAUGAAGGCCUUAGGGUUGUAAAGUCCUUUUAACGGGGAAGAUAAUGACGGUACCCGUAGAAUAAGCCCCGGCUAACUUCGUGCCAGCCGCCGCGGUAACAC